UAAGGAAUAUUGGUCAAUGGACGCAAGUCUGAACCAGCCAUGCCGCGUGAAGGAUGAAGGUCCUCUGGAUUGUAAACUUCUUUUAUCUGGGACGAAAACGGGAUUUUUAUCUCAAUUGACGGUACCAGAGGAAUAAGCACCGGCCAACUCCGUGCCAGCAGCCGCGGUAAUACGGAGGGUGCGAGCGUUAUCCGGAUUUACUGGGUUUAAAGGGUGCGUAGGUGGGCUUAUAAGUCAGUGGUGAAAUCUCCGAGCUUAACUUGGAAACUGCCGUUGAUACUAUAGGUCUUGAAUUAUCUGGGGGUAAGCGGAAUAUGUCAUGUAGCGGUGAAAUGCUUAGAUAUGACAUAGAACACCAAUUGCGAAGGCAGCUUACUACAUAUAAAUUGACGCUGAGGCACGAAAGCGUGGGGAUCAAACA
rnacentral:rRNA from 1 species